rnacentral:lncRNA from 1 species
GAACAUUGAAAAUGUCCCUAUGGUUGUAUCGAAAUGGAUCCAGUUGUCGAAGAAGCUCAGCCUGUGAUAACACUUUAUUUUGACCAUUUUAUGGAUCGUUUUUAAAUGCUUUUCUUAUGUUGUUUAUUUUUUUGAAGUUUUUUUUUUUAUUAUGGUGUUUUAGUACUCGUAGUUUCAAUACUCUUUUCAAGAAACUUAGGUAAAAGCUUUGCAAAGUGG